rnacentral:rRNA from 1 species
GUCGGGAGUUAGGAAAUGUAAGGAUGUUAACAGCGUCCUUACUUGACUAAGGCUCCGGAGGAAGCCACGGCUAACUCUGUGCCAGCAGCCGCGGUAAUACAGAGGCGGCAAGCGUUGUUCGGAAUUAUUGGGCGUAAAGAGCACGUAGGCGGCAUUGCAAGUCAGCUGUGAAAUACUUUCGCUUAACGAAAGAACUGCAGCUGAUACUACAAAGCUAGAGGGCGGAAGGGGAGAGUGGAACUUCUGG